GCUGGCGGCGUGCUUAACACAUGCAAGUCGAACGAAGCACUUUAUUUGAUCCCCUUCGGGACUGAUUAUUUUGUGACUGAGUGGCGGACGGGUGAGUAACGCGUGGGUAACCUGCCUUGUACAGGGGGAUAACAGUUGGAAACGGCUGCUAAUACCGCAUAAGCGCACGGCAUCGCAUGAUGCAGUGUGAAAAACUCCGGUGGUAUAAGAUGGACCCGCGUUGGAUUAGCUAGUUGGUGAGGUAACGGCCCACCAAGGCGACGAUCCAUAGCCGACCUGAGAGGGUGACCGGCCACAUUGGGACUGAGACACGGCCCAAACUCCUACGGGAGGCAGCAGUGGGGAAUAUUGCACAAUGGGCGAAAGCCUGAUGCAGCGACGCCGCGUGAGCGAAGAAGUAUUUCGGUAUGUAAAGCUCUAUCAGCAGGGAAGAUAAUGACGGUACCUGACUAAGAAGCACCGGCUAAAUACGUGCCAGCAGCCGCGGUAAUACGUAUGGUGCAAGCGUUAUCCGGAUUUACUGGGUGUAAAGGGAGCGCAGGCGGUGCGGCAAGUCUGAUGUGAAAGCCCGG
rnacentral:rRNA from 1 species